UACAAAGAACAUUAUGGUGGACACAGAAU
rnacentral:sRNA from 1 species